UUGCACCCGGCAAGUCCUACACAACCAGCUCCUGUAAAAUCCUCCAGGUCGGGAACGAAGCAAAGGUAUAUGGUCGUAGCGGUGUGAUGUAGGUAGCUUGCCUUUUU
rfam:Tamlana nanhaiensis strain FHC16 contig1, whole genome shotgun sequence.